AGUGAACGCUGGCGGUAGGCCUAACACAUGCAAGUCGAACGGCAGCACAGUAAGAGCUUGCUCUUACGGGUGGCGAGUGGCGGACGGGUGAGGAAUACAUCGGAAUCUACUUUUUCGUGGGGGAUAACGUAGGGAAACUUACGCUAAUACCGCAUACGACCUACGGGUGAAAGCAGGGGAUCUUCGGACCUUGCGCGAUUGAAUGAGCCGAUGUCGGAUUAGCUAGUUGGCGGGGUAAAGGCCCACCAAGGCGACGAUCCGUAGCUGGUCUGAGAGGAUGAUCAGCCACACUGGAACUGAGACACGGUCCAGACUCCUACGGGAGACAGCAGUGGGGAAUAUUGGACAAUGGGCGCAAGCCUGAUCCAGCCAUACCGCGUGGGUGAAGAAGGCCUUCGGGUUGUAAAGCCCUUUUGUUAGGAAAGAAAAGCAGCAGGUUAAUACCCCGCUGUUCUGACGGUACCCAAAGAAUAAGCACCGGCUAACUUCGUG
rnacentral:rRNA from 1 species